UAUAGAAUGCUAGAUGCAAUCAUAGAUCUCUCAAGCAACUCUCUACUAUAUAGGAGUCCAAAAUUGCACUAUACGUAACAUAGGCAUUUUAAGCAUUCUAAAAUUCACAAUAAAUACAUAUAACAAGAAUAUGCAUGCUUUUUCAAUUAAUGAUACUUAAUUCAUCACAAAUGAGAAUUUCUCAUUGUGUGGCUAGGUCAAACCCACCGAACCGUCGCGUAGGGCCUCGUUUCGCCGAACGAAGUUGUCCACGAGUCUCAAAAUACCCUAAAAGUAUUGAGCGAAGAGAUACACGGGCAUUACGAUCAACUAUAAGAUCAAAUAUUAACCAACAAGACAAAAGGGCUAAAA
rnacentral:lncRNA from 1 species